CAGGUGACACAUAUGAAAUGUAAACUAAAACUACAAUGAAAUAUGACUUUGUAUCCAUUAGGAUGCCUACAAUUUUUAAACCUCAUAUUAUCAAGUGUUGGUAAGCAUGUGGAACGCCUGAAACUCUCAUCCGUUGCUAGUGGGAAUGCAAAAUGAUACCGAAAACAGUUGGCAGUUUCUUACAAAACUAAACACACAGGAUAAAACCAGUAAUUCUACUUCUGACUAUUUACCUGAGAGAAAUAAAAUUAUGCAUUGCCAAAAAGGUGUGUGUGAAUGGUCACAGAAGUGAUGCAUAAAAGCCAAACGAUGGAAAAACCCAAAUGACCAUCACCUAAUGAAUAAACAAACCGUGAAACAGUCAUACAAUAAAUACUAUUCUCAGCAAUAAAAUAAAAUACAUGCCAAUAAAAUGAAACUAGUGAAACAUGAAUAUGGAUGAAGCUCAAACCAUUAUGUUAAAUGAAAGAGGUCAGACACAAAAGACUACCCAUAGUAUGAGUCAAUUUAUUUUAAAAUUACAGAAGAUGCUAAACUAGGAGCAGCAAGGAGAUUAGUACUUUCAGAGAUCAGGGCAAGGGAAGGGGCUUGACUGCAAAUGGACACAAGAAAACUUUUUAAGUAACGAAUAUGUUCUGUAUCAUGAUUCUGAUCAUGGUUUAAAUACCUGUCAAAAUUCAUCAAUUAUACAUUUUAAAUUGGUAAACUUUAUUCCAAGUAAUUCAUACCUAAAUAAAACAUUUUUUAUUCCAACAAACAAUAUAUGACAACAACAAAAAAACAAAACCCUAUAUAGCUAAACUAAUACAAACUUGUUAAACUACUACAAAUUUGUGGUAUCUAUCCCUUCACGUUACUUAUCAAACUCUCUGAAGGACUAACAGUUAAAUACAUAAAUAUGACAAUCUAAGAUUCUGAAACAACAACGGCCAGGUUACUUCAUAGUCCAACGUGCCCACACAUCUAUCCAGAUCAUGACAUUUUUAUCCAUAUGAACAGCACACAACAUUCAAUAAUGCAUGUUGACAAUUUUAGUGACAAGUCACUCUUUAGUCAUAACAUAAUUUACUAGAAUUCAAAAGCAGAAGCAAAACUACCUUUACUUUUUUAUAAAACCCACACUGGUGUAAUUCAGUGAAACAAUUUAGGGUUCUACAUAUAGCAAUCAAUUACCAAGAAUUGUUUAUCAUAUAUCUUAGGAAAUUUCAAAAGAAAAAAUCCUCAUUCUCAGUAAUUUCUCACAAAAUUUCAUUUCAAAAAUGUUCUGGUAAAAACAAUGCAUGUGCACUUUGUUACUUUGAAUUAGAAAAGUAAAAGAACAAAAAUAAACAGAUGACGGUGAUUUCACAUUUACAUCCAACGCAGCAGCCCAAUCAGACUUCUUUAGAAUUUUGUGAUUGGCAAAUAUUAAAAUUUUAACUACAUAAACAUUUUGAAAUAGCAGAAUUGUUUUGACUUGUGUGUGUGUGUAUGUGUGUGUGGGUGUGUGUAUGUAAGGCAGAGAGACAGACACACACACACACACACACACACAGAGAGAAGAGAGAGGGAGAGGGAGAGAGAGAGAAGGUAAACUAAAAGUGAUUAAACAGUUUUUAGAAUAUGUAAGGAGGCAGCACACAUUCAGUCCAAUCUCACAUAAUCCAUGUAGCCAAUGCUUCACAAGAAGCUUUGACUAACAAAAUUAUUUUUCUUAGUAUUCUAAGAGAAGUACAGGCAAGCCAUGAACCCAGAAGUGGUGUUCUAAUCUACAAGAAAGAAUACACAACAGUGAUUCCCAACCUGAAGGGUAUGACUGUGAUCACACAUUUACAUCCAAUGUAGCCGGCCAACCAGAAAGACUUUUCCAGAAUGUCACGAUCAACAAUAUAUUAAAAUUUGGGGUAUAGCACACCAUGUGAAAACACAUUAUGUAUGGGAAACACUGUCUGUAUCUGUGACAACUAUGACAUAUUUUUAUCUGUAUUUACAUAUUACUGUGGUUAAUAGAAACAUCCAUUUUAAUACAUUACUGUAACAAUGACAUUUUGACAUUACACACCUUCUCAAUGUAGGGCCACUAAAAUGUCUAAGUGUAUAAAAUUUUAAGAACUUUAAAGAGACACCUCAUAUUCCUUCUAGGUUCUAGAUUAGAAACCACAGUCUAAGAGAAAACUCUGUCCUAACUGUCAAGAGAAGUAGUUUCAGCUAAGCCACCACCUUUAACCAGGUCUUUCACUUCACAGGGAUUCUAUAAAAUUAAAGGGUCUGAAUUAUUCUAUAGGAACUCUUUUAGUCUAAAAUUUAUCUUCUCAAAUGUUGUAAUGGGUCGGGCACAGUGGCUCGCGCCUGUAAUCCCAGCACUUUGGGAGGCCGAGGCAGGUGGAUCACUUGAGGUCAGGAGUUCAAAACCAGCCUGGCCAACAUGGUGAAACCCCGUCUCUACUCAAAAUACAAAAAUUAGCUGGGCAUUGCAGCAGGUGCCUGUAAUCCCAGCUACUCGGGAGGCUGAGGCAGGAGAAUCACCUGAACCUGAAAGUCAGAGGUUGCAGUAAGCAGAGAUCAUACCACUGCACUCCAACCUGGGUGACAGAACAUGAUUUCAUCUCAAAAAAAAAAAACAAAAAGAAAGUUGUAACAACAAUUUAGGAACUCAGUUAAUAUCCCAAUUUUAGUUUCCAAAAAAAGAAAAAUACACUAAUAUACUUUGUAUUUUUCAAAAUUAUUUACUUUGCAUAUAUUUGCUUAAUAUAAUUUGUUAAUAUAACGAAGUUAUUUCAGAAAGUUUGAAGACAGAAAAAAUAUCACCUUUAAUCCAUGAUCUUUUUUUUUUCAUUUUUUCAAACAGGGUCUCGCUCUGUCACCCAGGCUGAAAUGCAGUGGCACAAUCACGGCUCGCAGCUUUGAUCUUCCAAGCUCAUGCGACUCUCCCACCUAAGCCUCCUGAGUAGCUAGGACUACAGGCACGCACCACCAUGCCUGGCUAAUUUUAGUAUAUUUUUGGAGAGACAGGGUUUUGCCAUGUUGCCCAGGCUGGUCUUGAACUCCUAGGCUCAAGCCAACUGCCUACCUCGGCCUCCCAAAGUGCUGGGACUACAGGUGUGAGCCACCUGGCCCAUGAACUUAUUGGCACAGACAUAGUUUACACAGCUACAGUAAUAAUGGCCAUAACAUUUUAUAUACAACUCUCUCUAUGCUUGUAACAGGUUAUUUUCCACACUCCAUGUAUAUCACUUUAUAAGUAUCGUAUUUAUAUGUCUUUAUAUGUAUGACUUUAAAUAUCUACUUAACAUUCUAAUGAGCGCAUCGGUAUAUAAUAAGUCACUUAAAGAGAACAUCCUGGUAGAGUCCUUAGAAAAUUUCAUCCUUGUAUAAACAUCAUUGAGUAUAUAUACACAAACCUAGAUGGUAUAGGCCAGGGGUCCCCAACCCGAGUUGAUGAAUGGUACUGGUCUGUGGCCUGUUAGGAACCGGUGACACAGCAGGAGGUGAGCACAGGCAAGGGAGCAUUACUGCUUGAGCUCUGCCUCCUGUCAGAUCAGCAGCCGCAUUAGAUUCUCAUAGGAGCACAAACCCUACCGUGAACUACGCAUGCGAGGGAUCUAGGUUGCACGCUCCUUAUGAGAAUCAGGCCAAGGUGGCCUGAUGAUCUGAGAUGGAACAGUUUCACCCUGAAACCAUCCCCUACAUAAAUAGGAUAUAUGGUAUAACAUAUUUCUCUUAGGCUACAAACCUGUACAGUGACUGUAUUGAAUGCUGUAGGUAACUGUAACACAAUGCUAAGUAUUUAUAUGUACCUAAACAGAAAACGUACAGUAAAAAUACAGUAUUAUAAUCUUAUGAGGCUGGGCACAGUGGCUCACCCAUGUAAUCUCAGCACUUUGGGAGGCCUAGGCAGGUGGAUCACCUGAGGUCAGGAGUUCAAGACCAGCCUGGGCAACAUGGUAAAAACCCCAUCUCUACUAAAAUUACAAAAUUUAGCUGGGCAUGGUGGCACACACCUGUAUCCCAGCUACUCAGGAGACUGAGGCACGAGAAUCGCUUGAACACUGGAGGCGGAAGUUGCAGUGAGACAAGAUCACACCAUUGCACUCCUGCAUGGGUGACAGGGAGACCCCGUCUCAAAAAAAUAAAAACAAAUAAUCUUAUGGGACCAGCAUUGUAUAAUGCAGGCUACUGUUAACCAAAAUGUUGUUAUGGAGCACAUGACUGUAUUUGUGUAUAUAUAUACAUAUAUAUAAAAUAAAGUAAAAUACUAGGACAAAAAUAAUAAUUAUUUAUAUUAGGGGAUGAAUAAAGUAGAGGAAGUAGGGUUAGAGAGAGUUCUCUCUGUAUACAUUUUCAUACAUUUUGACCUACCAUGCUACUUUUUUAAACUAAAAAUUGAUUAAAAAACUUAAAAUGUAAGUGAAGUACUUAAUAAUGCUAAAUAAUAGAUUUCUGAGAAGUCAGAAAUCACUUGGCCCAACCUCCAAUGCAAUGUAGGAAUCUCUUUAAUGUUUAUCUGUUUUCCUAGCAUUUUAGAAAAAAGAUGUAGCCAAAUUUACUAUCAGUAAAUAGGAGAGUGGUAUGAGACAAUUCAGAGAAGCUGCUUAUUAUAUCCCAACCAUUCCUGAAAAAAAUCAGUGAAUUAAAGCACAGUUUAAAGGCUGAUUAAUUCCAGCAAAUAAAUGCUGAGUCCCUGUUGUUUGCUGUGUUCUGAGAAUGUAAAAGAUGAUUCUCAAAGAAUAAGAGGAGUUCCUAUGCUCAAGAAAUUUGAGGCAAGACCAUUUGCUAAGCUUUAAAUAUUUAGAAAUGAGCAAGGUAUCACUGGAAUACAGUAUUAAUAUAUACAGAGAAACCUUUGUGGGAGAAGAAAAAGAAGAGGGAAAAUGAUGACUUUCAAGGGAUGGAGAAGAGGCUAAAAGGAUAAUCAAUAAACGGUACACUGUGUUUUUGAGGUUUCUUUUUUUUUUGAGCCGGAGUCUCACACUGUCACCCGGGCUGGAAUGAGGUGGCGUCAUCUCGGCUCACUGCAACCUCUGCCUCCCAGGUUCAAGCAAUUAUCCUGCCUCGGCCUCCUGAGUAGCUGGGAUUACAGGCACCUACUACCACGCCCAGAAAAUUUUUUGUAUUUUUAGUAGAGACAGGGUUUCACUAUGUUGGCCAGGCUGGUCUCGAAUUCUUGACCUUGUGAUCCACCCACCUCGACUUCCAAAGUGCUGGAAUUACAGGCAUGAGCCACCGCGCCCAGCAGAGGUUUCUUUUAAUAUUACUACUUUGGAGUACAAAUUAAAGCUUUAAUUAUGUGAAAGACCACAUUCCUCAACAAUAACUGAUAAAUGUGGCCUGAUUAAGAUGUUUAUACUAAUAUAGGCUGUAAGUUUAAAUAUUCUUUAAAUAAUGUAAAGAGAUUUUAUUUACCUAUAAUUUUAUUUCAUAUGUACAUGUUAAAAGACAGACCUCUUUGGGAGGCCGAGGUGAGCGGAUCACGAGGUCAGGAGAUCGAGACCAUCCUGGCUAAUACAGUGAAACCCUGUCUCUACUAAAAAUAUAAAAAUUAGCCGGGCUUGGUGGCGGGCGCCUGUAGUUCCAGCUACUCGGGAGGCUGAGGCAGGAGAAUGGGGUGAACCCAGGAGCCGAGAUCGUGCCACUGCACUCCAGCCUGGGUGACAGAGCAAGAC
rnacentral:lncRNA from 10 species